UACGUAGGGGGCGAGCGUUGUCCGGAAUUACUGGGCGUAAAGAGCGCGUAGGCGGCUCGAUAAGUUCUGUGUGAAAGCCCCCGGCUCAACUGGGGAGGGUCGCGGAAAACUGUCGGGCUGGAGUGUCGGAGAGGGAAGUGGAAGUCCCGGAGUAGGGGUGAAAUCCGUAGAGACCGGGCUGAACACCAGUGGCGAAGGCGACUUCCUGGCCGACGACUGACGCUGAGGCGCGAAAGCGUGGGGAGCGAACGGG
rnacentral:rRNA from 1 species